CAACGAUUGACUUUAUAGCAAACUCUUCUAUAUCAGUUUGGUCGGCAACCACCAACCCGGUAAGUGAUUUUAAUUUUAAAUUUGUUUGGUAACAGAAGCUAACUUCAAGCCUGGCAAUCUUAUCGUUACUAGUUCCUUUAUCAAUGUACCCUUAUUUUUCAUAUAGUAGUGCACAUUUUUUGACACAAUCAUUAUGCCCAUGUUAGUGUCCAAAUUAUUUGAACUUUGCCUUUUCUGAUUUAAUACACCUUUAUGACAAUCAUAUACAGUUUUGGUGAUUAGAAUUUAGCCCAUUAUUUUCUUAUUUUGCUGAUAUGAAAUUGCACCAUUACAAGGAAGCGGGUCAAACUGUUGGGGGAAGAGGUACUUAUCUGUGGAACUUGAAAUUCUUAUUAUAUAUAUCUUUUACCAUUAUGCUCAAUAGUUUAAAAUCCAACUUUUUAUUCUUUGGCCUCACCUGAGAUGCCUGCAAUAGACUUGCUUCAGUCAUGUAAUUGGUUUGUUGAAUGUCGCUUAAUUACAGUGGAGCUUGUCAUUUAUGUUGUCACCUUGUCUUGCAACAUCUAUUUCAAGUUUAAAAUUCUUUGCAAACCCCAUGACCGCACAUCCUUAGCAUCGUCGGUCCCCGUACACUGUAAAUCAGCACCGUCACAGCCACUAACAGGUUCGCUCUCUUUCUCACUCCCUUUCACUCUCUUGCUCUAUCGCUCUCUGUCUCGCUCUCACUCACUCUCUCUCUCUUUGUCUCUCUCUCUCUACCCCUUCCAUUUCCCCAACUGUGAACUUUUUCUCUCUGGUUGUUUAUUCUACCCAUUCAAUUUAAUUUUGCCUUCAUUUCUGAAAUGGGUUUGUUUGAAGUGGUUUCAUUACUAGAGUUUUAUGGGUUUGAUGUUGUAAAUGGGUUUGAUUUUAGGGUUUGAUUUCAUGCCAUUUUGUGGAUGAUGACUGUGUUUUCAUAUAUAGAUUUCUCACAUCACUUCAUUAGCUUUCUGCUUUGCUUUCUGACAAAGGAAUUAACAUCCGUGAGGCACACGUGUUCUCAACUACUGGUGGUUAUUCUUUGGAUGUAUUUGUGGUGGAUGGAUGGCCUGUUGAGGGGUCUGUGUUGAGUCCAAACGUUGCUGACUUUGCAAUGUUGUGGUCAGGAUACAAAGGGAUUAUGUGAAGCUAUGGACAAAGCAAUUGCUAGAAAUGAGACUAAUAAGGAACACUGUUAGAAGUGGAUCAUUCCCACUGCAAUUGCGGACACACUGUCACAAGCAUGAAUUGUCUUAUUGAGAUUGUCUACAUCUCAAUCCAUGCAGUUUCCUUCAAUUUGGUCCCAGCAGAUGGAAUCAUAAUUUCUGGUCAUUCUCUUGCCAUCGAUGAAUCUAGCAUGACUGGGGAAAGCAAGAUUAUUCACAAAGAUCAAAAAGCACCAUUUUUGCUGUCUGGUUGCAAGGUUGCAGAUGGUGCUGGAACUAUGCUGGUAACUGGUGUUGGAAUCAACACAGAAUGGGGAUUGUUGAUGGCAAGUAUCUCGGAAGUAUUUGAGCAUUUAGUUUUUUAUGUGAUUUAUUUAAAUUAAUUCACCAUCAAAAAAAUAUAUAAAUGUGUAUGUAUCAUAUUUAUAAUCACCUAAUUUCAAAUUCAACCCAGUGGGAUUCAUUUUAUGUCUUUA